rnacentral:lncRNA from 1 species
UAACAUCCUGAGUUUCAAAACAUUGCUAAAGAGGUAGGUCUUGGCUCAUGGCAGCCGGGAAUUGUUGGCCCAGACUACAAGAUAAGAAGUGAGCGGAUGAGAGCAAACGGUCCAGAGAUUGGCAGACGUAGAGAGAGAAAAGUUGACGGAUCAGAGCGGAAAUCGUAGUUAGAUAAUUGGAGUCUUGGAGUAUUGUAUAUAGUGGUUAUUAUUAGUACUUACUGGGGGACAAAGAUAGACG